rnacentral:tRNA from 1 species
UCUAAUAUGGCAGAUUAGUGCGAUGGAUUUAAACCCCACUAAUAAAGUUACACCUUUUUUUAGAA